rnacentral:lncRNA from 1 species
UGGGCUGGUCCACAGUUGACUUUGUUCCCUACAUACGGCCUCUUCCACUUGCAGUACCAGAUACGCUUUCCAGAAGAAGAGCCUCUCGAGCUAGCCUACUGCAGCUGUAGGCAGGGCCUCUGCGGCGGAGUACCCGGAGUGGCCAUGUCGCGAGUGUUGGGAGACCUGUAAAGACACUGGAGGCUGUGGAGCACGAGUGAAGUGUGCUGGCAUGACUGUGCCUACCUGGGAAUGGGGUGUAGGACAAAUGAGGAAAGAUAUGUUUGUGCAUGCAGAAGUUACAGAGAUCUCGGGGAAACUCCAGCUCCGUGGCCAGGACAUGAAGGUAAUUGCGAUGGCAUGAUACAGUGGUUUGAACCAGGGCGACAUCCUCAGAAAUGUUGCCCCAGUCCCAUCCCGCCUCUCUAGGGAAAAGUGACUUGGAAAACCUGCUCAUUACAGCAAUGCCCUCCCGACUUUGGCUGGAAGAAUCCUUGACGUGACGCAAAUCGCCUUGUAACUGUGGCCGUAAUUU